rnacentral:rRNA from 1 species
UACGUAGGGAGCGAGCGUUGUCCGGAUUCAUUGGGCGUAAAGAGCUCGUAGGCGGCUUGGCAAGUCGGGUGUGAAAACUCCAGGCUCAACCUGGAGACGCCACCCGAUACUGCCAUGGCUAGAGUCCGGUAGGGGACCACGGAAUUCCUGGUGUAGCGGUGAAAUGCGCAGAUAUCAGGAGGAACACCGGUGGCGAGGGCGGUGGUCUGGGCCGGCACUGACGCUGAGGAGCGAAAGCGUGGGGAGCGAACAGG